AGAGUUUGAUCCUGGCUCAGAUUGAACGCUGGCGGCAGGCCUAACACAUGCAAGUCGAGCGGCAGCACGGGUACUUGUACCUGGUGGCGAAGCGGCGGACGGGUGAGUAAUGCCUAGGAAUCUGCCUGGUAGUGGGGGAUAACGUUCGGAAACGAACGCUAAUACCGCAUACGUCCUACGGGAGAAAGCAGGGGACCUUCGGGCCUUGCGCUAUCAGAUGAGCCUAGGUCGGAUUAGCUAGUUGGUGAGGUAAUGGCUCACCAAGGCGACGAUCCGUAACUGGUCUGAGAGGAUGAUCAGUCACACUGGAACUGAGACACGGUCCAGACUCCUACGGGAGGCAGCAGUGGGGAAUAUUGGACAAUGGGCGAAAGCCUGAUCCAGCCAUGCCGCGUGUGUGAAGAAGGUCUUCGGAUUGUAAAGCACUUUAAGUUGGGAGGAAGGGCAGUUACCUAAUACGUAAUUGUUUURACGUWACCGACAGAAUAAGCACCGGCUAACUCUGUGCCAGCAGCCGCGGUAAUAC
rnacentral:rRNA from 1 species